GAUGAACGCUGGCGGCGUGCCUAAUACAUGCAAGUCGAGCGAACGGACGAGAAGCUUGCUUUUCUGAUGUUAGCGGCGGACGGGUGAGUAACACGUGGAUAACCUACCUAUAAGACUGGGAUAACUUCGGGAAACCGGAGCUAAUACCGGAUAAUAUUUUGAACCGCAUGGUUCAAAAGUGAAAGACGGUCUUGCUGUCACUUAUAGAUGAAUCCGCGCUGCAUUAGCUAGUUGGUAAGGUAACGGCUUACCAAGGCAACGAUGCAUAGCCGACCUGAGAGGGUGAUAGGCCACACUGGAACUGAGACACGGUCCAGACUCCUACGGGAGGCAGCAGUAGGGAAUCUUCCGCAAUGGGCGAAAGCAUGACGGAGCAACGCCGCGUGAGUGAUGAAGGUCUUCGGAUCGUAAAACUCUGUUAUUAGGGAAGAACAGAUGUGUAAGUAACUGUGCACAUCUUGACGGUACCUAAUCAGAAAGCCACGGCUAACUACGUG
rnacentral:rRNA from 1 species